rnacentral:rRNA from 1 species
AGGGUGUAAACGCUGCAGACUUGGUGUUGGGAACCCUUCGGGGGUGCUCAGUGCCGGAGAGAAGUUGUUAAGUCUGCUACUUGGGGAGUACGUCCGCAAGGAUGAAACUUAAAGGAAUUGGCGGGGGAGCACCGCAACGGGAGGAGCGUGCGGUUUAAUUGGAUUCAACGCCGAAAAACUCACCAGCAGCGGCUGUUACAUGAAAGUCAGGUUGAUGACCUUACUAGAUUUUCAGAGAGGUGGUGCAUGGCGUCAGUGACU